rnacentral:rRNA from 1 species
AUAUUGGACAAUGGGGGGAACCCUGAUCCAGCCAUGCCGCGUGUGUGAAGAAGGUCUUCGGAUUGUAAAGCACUUCAAGUUGGGGGGAAGAGUUGUAGGCUAAUACCUUACAAUUUUGACGUUACCAUCAGAACAUGCACCGGCUAACUUCGUGCCAGUAGCCGCGGUCAUACGAAGGGUGCAAGCGUUAAUCGGAGUUACUGUGCGUAAAGCGCGCGUAGGAGGUUCGUUAAAUUGGAAGUGAAAGCCCCGGGCGUAACCUGGGAAUUGCUUUUAAAACUGACGAGAUAGAGUACGGUAGAGGGUAGUGGAAUUUCCUGUGUAGCGGUGAAAUGCGUAGAGAUAGGAAGGAACAUCAGUGGCGAAGGCGACUACCUGGACUGAUACUGACACUGAGGUGCGAAAGCGUGGGGAGCAAACAGG